rnacentral:rRNA from 1 species
GACGAACGCUGGCGGCGUGCUUAACACAUGCAAGUCGAACGGAAAGGCCCUGCUUUUGUUGGGUGCUCGAUUGGCGAACGGGUGAGUAACACGUGAGUAACCUGCCCUUGACUUUGGGAUAACUUCAGGAAACUGGGGCUAAUACCGGGUAGGAUCUCUUGCUGCAUGGUGGGGGUUGGAAAGUUUCGGCGGUUGGGGAUGGACUCGCGGCUUAUCAGCUUGUUGGUGAGGUAGUGGCUUACCAAGGCUUUGACGGGUAGCCGGCCUGAGAGGGUGACCGGCCACAUUGGGACUGAGAUACGGCCCAGACUCCUACGGGAGGCAGCAGUGGGGAAUAUUGCACAAUGGGCGGACGCCUGAUGCAGCAACGCCGCGUGCGGGAUGACGGCCUUCGGGUUGUAAACCGCUUUCGCCUGUGACGAAGCGUGAGUGACGGUAAUGGGUAAAGAAGCACCGGCUAACUACGUG